UGUGUGUGUGUUUGUGUGUGAUGUGUAUGAACUGAUAAACCCCAAGCAACAAAUAGUGGAUGACCCAUAAUAGCUUCCUCACAUGCUGUCCAUAUUAGGAGAAUAAUUGAUCCUUCACAUCCUGACCUUCCAUGUGUUCCCAGAGAAAAGAUGGAAACCUGUGGUGCAUGGAUGCCUGUUAUGUGCCAGGGAAACCCUGGCAGCUCCGCAGUGCUGGUGGCUCUGACACAUGGCCUUCCGACGGUGGACAUGGAGUUUCACACAGGAUGGACUUUCCGUCAGUUCCCACUCAGCAGUAACCACCAGAAUCUGUGUCCUACUGUUGUUCAACCAGGAGAAGGAAUGCAAGUGGCACAUGACAGCCAGGUGUAUGAGGACAUGAGUGCAAGUCCUGCAACCCCAGGGUGUAACUCUGAUCGCAACUGUUGACAGAGAGAGCAAGACAAGAGUGAACCAAGUUCUGUUGAAAGAGAGGAAGCCUUGGGACCAGGCCACCUUGGUACAAGGACUGUUUUAGCCCCACUUUAUCUCUGCAGCUGGGACAGCAGCCCUGCAUCCAUAGCUUUGCAUGCUGGACUGUGCCAGGGAUCCAUCCUGGGAGCCACAGCUUUCCUGAAACCACACAGGCAUUGGGGGAAGGAUUCGGGUCUUAGAACUUGGAGAAGCAACCAUUGGUGGACAGCAACAAGGGUCAUAAAUAAUGCACUUCAGGAGAACUCAGACUACUAUCUUGAAGGAGCCUAAGUACUGCAAGAACCACAAAUGGCUGUUUUCAGGUUAUCAAAUUUUAAUAACAUUAUUUUGCUACCAUGCUGCAUCUAUCCUUUUAAAGUGAAUAUUCCAAGAUAUCAUUAUGUGAUUAUAAAACAAAAGGACUCUUCUCAAAGUGAUGAACCAAAGCCAGUCUCUCUCUUUGUAGCGACACUCAGCAACCACUUAAUUUGUGUUUUAAAUCGUAAGCAUGCAACAGUGCUUCCUAAAGCAAGAGUAGAAAAAGCACAAAGUGGGGAAUGAAACAAAACAUCACCUGAAAUUAAUCUGAUACAUAUUGAUGUCUCUCCUAACAAUAUCAUCAAGUGAUAAUAGUCUUAAAGGUUGGUGACUUCUCAAAUGGCUGUGAUGACAUGACUUUUACACAUAGCUGAGUUGAAUCUUUGAGGUAUUCUCUUUUGUGUUCUGGUAUCAUUGUUGUCAGUUUUCUCUUAUCAAGGAUUUUUUAAUUCUAAAUGCAUACAUAUGUACUCUCUUGCAUGGCUCCCAGUAAAAGCUUAAUAUAUGUGGAAUGAAUGAGUGAUAUUAAAAGAUCAAGGUCUUUGUAUCAUUUUAUCAGAGAGUGGGUAAUUACUGUGCUAAACACUAUUUCACUGGGAUGAAAAUAAAGCAGUAGUUAGACAUUUUUCUGGCCAUUCACACUGUACAUCUUAUAAUGAAAUUUCUGUGAUCUGACAGUGAUUGGUGGAUGAUGUAUGAAGCAGAAAGAAACAGCCUUAGAGUUUGUAAGAUUUUGACUCUACAGAGUUAAGAGGAAUAACGAUGGAGUCUGUCAGCUUAGAUUUUCCUCAUCUACACACAACAAGUGGAAAAUAUUGCUCUAUCCACACUACAAACAGUUCUCCAAUAUCUGGCUUUUCUGAAUUUGUGAUAAGAUGUAGGCAAACAAGAGGCUGUUUCAGAGGUUUAAUUUAUAAAGAAUGUGGCAAACCGAUUAUAUGUGGGUUUCUUACUCCCAACUUCAUUUUAUUAAGGACCUUGAUCAGAAUCAAAUGUGUAUGAUGUUUCAUGGUAUCUGGUGUACUGUCAUCCAGGUUAAGCUGGAAACUUCUUUCCCAGAAUCUCCUCCCUGAUAGUUCUAGGUUAGAGUUGGCCAAAAGAGGAAUUUGAGUGAGAACGUGAAGCAACAGUUAUAAUUUUUUUUGGAACAGUAAGGAAAUUUAUUAUCUUACAUAACAACAACAAAAAAAUCUAAGAAUAAGGUAGUUCUGGCAUAGUUCAAUCAGUGGCUUAAUGGUGUCAUCAGAGACCCAGAUGCCUUCCAACUCUUUACUUGCCUUAAAGUUGGUUCUUCUCAUGGUCCAAGAUGACUUCAGCAGUUCUAGGUUUCACAUCCUGACAUAAAUGGAGAAGAAAAAAUCUUGCUUAGAAGCACUGCCCCCUCCUGUAGACUUCUCACAUCUCAUUGGCUAGAACUGGGUCACAUGUCCACCCCUAACCAAUCCCUCACAAGGGGACUUGGCUAUCCAUGAUUGGUUUAGAGUCUAAGCCUUAGACCAAUCAGGAUUCACCACUGAUAACCAAAACUUUCGAAGAUCAUCAUGGUUGGAUCAAUGACAGACACUUUUAGAGGUGCCAGUAGCUUCCAGCUUGUCCUUGAUCUCCUCUGCUCCAGUUCCCGCCCUUAUUCCUGACUGCUGGCCCUGCUAACCAACAGCAGCCUCAGACCCAUCACUAGUUGCCCAACUGUGUAGCCCUAUUGACAUCAGCUUCUUCCUCAGAUGCUUCUUUGUGGUCCUACCUCAUGGGCUGGGUGUACUUGGCCCUAGGAUUGACUGGUUGUUUUCUCCUCUGAUCCUCCAGACUUUCUUUCAAGCUUUUAGCACCUCAGCACUUCCCACUGUCAUGUAAGGUCUGAUUCCCAUAUCAGAUCCUGAAUUUUGUAACUUCGUAGAGAUUCUGUUUUUCCAAUUGGACCCUGAUGCAAACAGUACCAAUUUAACUUAUCACAGCUGCAUUGUUUUUGAAAUAUAAUACAAUCAUAAUUUUAAAAUCAAACAAUAUAAAAAGUGAAAAC